CAUUGAACGGACGCAAUAGUUACUAGGAUGGUAGCUACUAAGGAUGGGAAAUGGACACCUCUGGACGAGGCAAGGAACGAUCAUCAGGACGAUGAAAGGGACACCGCUCAGGGAGCAAGUGAAGUGAGCUAACGAGGAUUGUUAGCGGACCAGGAUAGGGUCAACGGACACCGCUAGGAUGGCGAUGAAAGGAUUAAGCUGACGGAUUUCAGCCUACUAUCAAGGAAUAGAUGCAGGGAGCACCUAUUAGUAGCCGGAUUGCUGCGAGUAAGACUAUAACCCCGAUGGGCGCAAGCCUCGGGGUUUUUCUUUGU
rnacentral:other from 1 species